CUCUCUGCCCUUCCCCGCUUGUGUUCUCUCUCUCGCUCAAAAAUAAAUAAACAUUAAAAAAAAUUUAUGAUCAUUUAUACUCGAAUGCUCCUGUAUGAAAUCUUUGGGGAGGAAGGAAGAGCAACCCAUUUGGCAAAUAAGAUCUGGCUUAUACUAUUAUUUUAUUAUUGUUACUAUCAUCAUCAUCAUUAUCAUCACUAUAGAACCAAAUAAAGCUACAUCUUGCAUAGCUGAGAAGUCAAAUGAUUUUUUUUUAAUUUAAUUAGUUUUUGUACUCAUGUGAAGUUGGAUUAUGUCAGGUGAAAUACGAAAAAAAUAUUGCCUAGUAUUUGUCUAGUAGCAGUAAAAACAGAAACUAAAGGUAAAAGCUUCCCCUUCAAACAGUGACUUUGUCCCCCUAGUAUCUACAUUGUUUCCAUUCUCCUAGGUUAAGCAGCCCAGAGGUACAACAGUUAGCAACAGAUACUAGUUUUUCUGCUCCCUUGACUACUUCCACAAAGACCUUUGCAGAUCAGUUACGGGGUAGUCAAAUGAGCAGGAAAACUAAUACCCAUUGAACUGCAAGGUCGUUGAGAUCAGGAACAAUGCAUUAAUGAUAAUUUUUAUAUAUACCUAGCAUGGGUAUAAAAUAAUUGCUAUAUUCGUAUGCAAAGGGGAUAUGGUUUGAAAACUGGCAGGAAAUGUAUUUGAAAUGACAUGAUGACUGAUGAAGAAAAGAUUGGUUUAAAAACACAUGCUAUAUUUCUUUCAAUUUACUUUUUAUUGUUAUUUCAGAACCUUUGAUCUUUUAGAAACUUUCUAAUGAAAUAGUUUGAAAGGCAAAUCAAUUAACUUUUUCAUUUCCCUUCCUACCUCUUGCCUCUCAACAAACUCCCAAGAAGAAAAGUGCAUUAUACACACGUUCUUAGUGGGUUUACAGAUAAAGAAAAACAACCUCCCUCCUGGCUUACAUUUUCUAACAUUUUCAGGUAAUUAUCUGAAACAGACCUGGUAAAGGUAGAAUCCACUUCCUUGAAUCUGUCUUUUGAGCAGAGUCCAAAAGCAAAGGGACCAAAAUAAGGAAAUCAAUUCCUGCCAACGAGUGUCUGAAAAGCUCCAGCUAAAUGAACUGAUGUAAUCUCAGUGCAGGACUUGCAGGGAGGAAGGCAGGAAUUCUCAUCACUCCUGAAUCUCCAGGAGGGAGGAGGAGGCUGAGUGAGGCACUCCAGCAGUUCCAGCUGGUGGAAGUCAAAGAUUACUGAUAAGACAGGCCGAAGGCAUGCUCCCCUGCUUCAGCGUGGGUGAUGUGUCUUGUGCUAUUUCAGCAGGCCACUAGUGACAGGAAUCCAAGGUACCACUAUCAAUCUUAUUUGCCCCAAACAGAUAGUGAAACAUAGACAAGAAAUUGGAGAGAUUAGAUAGAUAGAUUAAAACGCAAAAACAAAGAAACAGAAAAACACAACACACAUUCAAGCUUAUGACCUGUGCCCCAAUUCCUCAACAUAUUGCAGGAAAAAUUCCAGUGUUUAUCAGAAUUGGUGCAAACAUGCUACAGCCAUCUGACAAAAGAAAAGCCUUCUUUGCAGUUCCCAAGACUGGUGAGGGAGAAAUUUGCAGAGGAUGCGAGAUUUUUUUCACAAUGUUAACCAUCUUAGAUAAUAUAAAAGGCAAGCACAUCUCCUGCCAUUUUACUGUAUGACUGCAUAUUGCACAUUGUAUACUGUUAGCUCACAUUUGCAGAGGCAGAUAUAUGUUGAAAAGGAAGAAAAAGAUCAUCAUCAGGAACUAUGAACAAUUGUGUGCUCCUUACAACAUCUGGAGUACUGGCCUUAAACUAUUCCAUUUUUUUAAAACUGUCAAAACUGUAUACAGAUAUAUUUCAUUCAGCAAUCUAGUGAAUUGCAAAAUUAUUGUGAAAUCAGAAGUAUUGGGAGUGAAUUGGUGUCCUAAAACAAUUUUGGAGAAAUUACUUAAACAUGUGUCAGCUUAAUUAAACUGAUGUAAAUUCGGUCUUUUCUAAUGUGUUUGAGAACAACAGCAUAUAUUCAUCACUUUUCUUUUAAAAAAGAAGAGAAGCAAUCUAAAGCACAUGCAUUAAAGUUUCCUAAUCCAGGACAGAAUGUGCUUAGUGGUAAAUAGCUUCAAAGAACUAGAAUAAUGUUGGUAUUUUACUCUACAUCUAUCUAAAGGUUAUGUAAAUCAAAAUGGGGUAGGUAUGCUGCAGUAAAUAACCCACAAAGGUUAGUAGUUUAAAGCAAAUAAAAAAUGUUUAUUCCUCACACAUAUUACAUGAUCAUCACAGAUCAGCUAGAGGCUCUGCUUUGUGUCCUACUCACUUUCGGAUCUUAGUUGAUGGAACAACUACUACCUGUAACAUUGCUGGUUGCCAUGGUAGAGAGAAAUAAAGAGUCUGGACAAUCUUACAUGAGCAAUUACACGCUCCAGCCCAGCAAGAAUAAACCUCACUUCUGCCCACAAUUCACUGUGUACUAUUCACAAGAGACCAUCUAACCACAAGGGAGUCAGGAAGCAUAAAUAUCAGAAGAAGCAGCCACCAUUUAUUAAGGGCCAACUAAGCGCUCAGUUUGGGGAGGUGCUUUAACUACUUUGCAUAAUUUUAACACAUACAGUAACUCUUGUAGGUAGGUAUUAUUAAGGUUCCAUUUCGCUUACUAAAUGAAACUGAGGCUUAUAGAACUUAAGCUUUCCAAAGCAAAAAAGCUAUUACUAUCUGCCAAUGGUCACCCUCCUUUCUCCAUACCACACUGCUGUUUCUCCCAUUAGGUCUCAGGUAUUAUUUAACUCUUCACCUUAAAAGCAACAAUAAAAUGCAUGCUGCAUGCAUAUGGCCAUUUUGAUGUGACUUUGUGAUUUAAUAUAACAAAAUGUUUGUAAAGGAUGUUAAUGAUAUAGAGCUAAAAGAUGAUUUUAAUCAUUUUUUUACAAAAAAAGGAAAACACAACUUUAAAAAUGUGAAUACUCUUUGUAUUCAUUGCAACUCAAAAAUAUAUAGCAGUCUCUGGAUAUGUUCCAAGACCCUCAGUGGAUGCCUCAAACUGUGGAUACUACUAAACCCUAUAUAUACUAUGUUUUGUUCCUAUACAUACUUACCUAUGGUAAAGUUUAAUUUAUAAAUUAUGCACAGCAAGAUAUUAAUGACAAUAACUAAUAAUAUAAUAGAACAAUUGUAACAAUAUACUAUAAUAAAAGUUAUAUGAAUGUGGUAUCUCUCUCUCAAAAUAUCUUACUGUACUGCAUUCACCCUUCUUGUGGUGAUGUGCGAUCAUAAAAUAUCCACCUGAUGAGAUGAAGUGAGGUGACUGACAUAGGCAUUGUGAUGUAGCAUUAGGCUACUACUGACCUUCUGACAUGAAGUCAGAAAGAGGAUCGUCUACUUCCAGGCUGCAGUUGACCACAGAAAGUGAAACCAUGGAUAAAGGGGGACUACGGUACUACAAAUAAGUUGCAGAGCUACAGUUUCUAGUGACCAGGAUGAAACCCACUGGGACAGCCCUGUCACUUUGGAGCCUGCAAACAGGAUCCUGGGAAAACUAGCAGAAGCCAGCAAAAGGCAUCAAAGCUGAACAUGAUGGUCAUGCUGUUCCAUGCAGCCCUGAAAGACAAACAAAAGAACAAACACACCCCAACGACUUACAACCUGGAGCCAAGGGAGCUCUCCAGGUUGCACGAUGCCUCUAUGAUCCUCCCCGUAAAUAUAAAAGCCGCUUUCUUCAGUAACUGAAAACAAUCAUAACUGUC